rnacentral:rRNA from 1 species
UACGUAGGGUGCAAGCGUUAAUCGGAAUUACUGGGCGUAAAGCGUGCGCAGGCGGUUUUGUAAGUCUGUCGUGAAAUCCCCGGGCUCAACCUGGGAAUUGCGAUGGAGACUGCAAGGCUAGAAUCUGGCAGAGGGGGUAGAAUUCCACGUGUAGCAGUGAAAUGCGUAGAGAUGUGGAGGAACACCGAUGGCGAAGGCAGCCCCCUGGGUCAAGAUUGACGCUCAUGC